rnacentral:lncRNA from 1 species
CUGUAGUGAUUUUUGAUGUUGCAUAUUCCCUCGAGCUUCCACCACAUAUUUAAGUCCAUUUAAUCUUUCAUAUUUUGAAAUUGAACGAAUUUCAUACUUAACCAAAGUGCUUUCCGGAUUGAUACCAACUACCACCACCACUAGUUGUAAUUGAUGACCAACAAGAAAAUGAAGUGGGUAGUGUUUUAGAGCAUCGCUAUCCUUAUCGUGGUAAUGGACAUCCACAACUCAAGUACAAAGUUCUUUGGAAAGGUUAUCCCAUUCACAAUGCAACGUAAGAACCUACACAAAACCACACCCAUUACUAAGAGACAAUUUGAAGAUACCACCAGAAGUGAAAUGAGGACGUUUUGUAUUAGUGGAGGGAGAUUAACUAUAACAUGGUAUAGAUAAGAUAAUUAUAUAGAUAAUUAGAACCAUGGAAGUUUCUAGAAUUGGGAUUAGAUUAGUGGACCAGGUAGGAUCCAUCAUACAACCUCCCAUGGUAGAUAGUCUAGUCCUAUUUUACUUAGUUAAAGGAAGUUCAAAAAUAACAAAAGAUCAAUGUAUAUACAUAUCGUAAAGAACAAUUAUAAUUCAAUGUAGGUGACAAGAUAUGGCUAUUUUGUCAUAAUAUCAAGACUACUUGUUCUUAUGAUAAGUUGGACUAUUAUAGACUUGAAUCUUUUUUUAUUUGUAAACAAGUCAAUCUUGUAGCUUAUCAAUUAUAUCAAAUUCUAUAAAGAUCCAUCCCAUAUUCCAUAUGUCUCUUCUUGAGCCAUAUAGAACAAUGAAUAUCUGAAGAAGAAGACAAAUGCCACCUCUUCUUAUAAAAUUAGAUAAUAAUUAAGAGUUUGAGGUAAAAGAAAGUCUUAGAUUCAAGGCAAUGCCAAAAUAGAUUAGAAUAUCUUAUUCAUUGAUAUGGAUAUAAUAUUAGUAAAUGUACAUGAGAGCUAACAAAGAAUUUUGUAAAUGCAACAAAAAAAGUUAUGGCCUUCUAUCAACAACAUCCAUCAAAGUCAAGAUGAAGAAUUGUAAGAUCUAUAAAAGAUGAUGACUGUUCUUUGUAGAACUUGUCUAUGAAAAAAGAUGGAGAUAAUGUCACAGACAUUUAUACUUAUUCUAGUAUUUAUAUAUAUGAUUAAGUAAAAGUAGAUAAAAAAAUAGAUUUAUUUCAUAAUAUUUUUUAGAAUAGCUUUUUAGAAGCUUUAUAGAUAUUGCUUUGAAUUUACAUGUGUUUGUAGUUAAUUGAUAGGUUAAAAAAUUAUUCAACAAGUUAAUCAUGUAUUGAUAGCUUGUGGAAGAAGCUAAACAUGUUGUGCAUAUAUAAAAAACUUGCCUUAUAAGUUAAGAUAUGUGUUUUACAAAGUCAACACGUUUUAGAGGUCCUAUAGGACAUUACUACAUAACUCUUGGUUAAGAAUAUAUAUGAAGGCAAGAGUGAAGCUUCCUUCACUCUUAUCAACACCUUUCUAAUCCUUAAUCUUAUUUCAAGACAUUCUAGUCUUCUUGUCUUUGGUAAUAGCUAUUCUAAUUUAAUACUAUAUCAUCUUUGAAUGACUUUUUAGUUCUUUUAAGUGACAUAAGAGUGUACUAAAGAUUUCUUUCUUCAAGAUCUAUGUCAUUGAUACCACCCUACUUAGUCAAAUAAAAAUUAAUUGCAUUUAAUUGGAUCAAAAUGAUGAGAAGAAGUAAAAAACAAUCAUCAAGCAUUUCAUAUUUUGUUCAAAAAAGCUAGACAUUACUCACUUUUUGUUCAUACAAUAGUCAAAUAUUGUGACCAUUUCUACAACAACAAUGAAAUUAAAACUCACACCUUAUAUGAUUAUAGCCAAACACUGGAAACGAUACCCCC